GGAGAUAUAGCUCAAUAAGGAAGAGCACCGCUUGAAGAGGUUCUAGGUAAGUAAAGCGGAGGUUAGAGGUUCAAAUCCUUUUAUCCCCACCA
rnacentral:tRNA from 1 species